rnacentral:lncRNA from 1 species
GGAAAAAAUGCAUUUCAAAGGAAACUACUAGAAAUGUUCAUAUUCCCUUUGACCAUUUUGCUUUCGUGAGUUUUCUCUGUCACAGGUUUCCUGCCAAGUUAAUUCAAAGCCCAGUGGGACUAACAUGCUCCUCUCUGCAAAAUAUUCUCCAGAGCUUCUGGGAAUACCUCAUAGCUACUGCUACCAGGAUACCAAAAUAUUUCCCAAAUACACUUGCAGCUGGAAGCAAGAUAUAACAUUUCCUCUCUAACUCCUUCUUGCCUGUGCUUUUCAAAUAACCUCAGCUGUGAAUGGAGGGCUUAGAAGUAAACAGUUGUCUCUUAUUUGUUUGAAGGACCGAGUAUCAGUUUUCACAGAUGUGAAUGCUUGCAUUGCAUGUGUGAAAUGCACAGAAGGUCUUUAUGUUCUGUUAUAAAUCACACUGCAUGUAUAUGUUAGAAAUUCAAGGCCUGAGAGGUCUUUCUUUAAUGCUCAGUGCUGGGAGAUGGCUGAAGUAAUCAGGCUGCCUAUUUUUAGUGCCACCUUUUGGAUGCUUAGGAAAUUGACAUUUUAAAGUAAAUUAAAUGAACAUAGUCCUACUUGUCAUUUCUGCGAUUAAAUCAAUUCCAACGCAGCUGUGUGACCGUAGAAUGGUUUGUUUUAUUAUUGCUGAUCAAAAUAACUAUUAUGAGUAGCAGAAUUCUAGUGCCUGGAAAUCUAACAAGAGUAGUUUUGAGUUUAGAAGAAUUAGCUCAACUGUCUUUAAUAUAAACUUCAAGGCCUUACACUUGAAUAACAAAUACCAAAGCAGUUUGACAGCUUUGAAAAAAAGUUAGUGGAAUGUGCAAGAUUUAGUUGGUGUUUAUGCUGGCUGGACUUCACAUACCCAUAUAUACUCUGUGUUACUCAUUUAAGUGCGCUUUUGUAUACAGUUGUCACCAUCAACAUUGGCCCUUAUUACUGAAAUCUGUCAGCCUCAUUUAAAUUUUUGCAAAUGUGAUUUGGGAGAUGUAAAUAUAAAAGUGAGCAGCUCUGUGCAGAUACAUUUUUGUGUGAGGCAGAAGUGCAUGACUGGUGUCACAUGCAGAGGGUGAAGGCUUUAGGAGUUACGGAACAUCAAAAGCCUUCUUCAGAGUGACUGUCUGUCUCAUGUGACUAGCAUCGGUCAGUCAGACAGGGCACCCGGGACAAUGGGCAGCCACACUGACGCUGAAGUGGAGUGAAUCUGAGCACAGCCUCCAACAUUCUCUAUCUUUUUGUAGAAAACAAAGAAACCCAAGGCAGCAGAGUCUGUUUCAAAACCAGAUGUCAGUGAAGAAGCCCCAGGGCCAUCAAAAGUUAAGACAGGGAAGCCUGAAGAAGCCAGCCUUGAUUCUAGAGAGAAGAAAACCAACUUGGCUCCCAAAAGCACAGCAAUGAAUGAGAGCUCUUCUGGAAAAGCUGGGAAGCCUCCGUGUGGAGCCACAAAGAGGUCCAUCGCUGACAGUGAAGAAUCGGAGGCCUACAAGUCCCUCUUUACCACUCACAGCUCCGCCAAGCGCUCCAAGGAGGAGUCUGCCCACUGGGUCACCCACACGUCCUACUGCUUCUGAAGCCCGCACUGCCACCGCUCCUGCCCCAGAAGGUUGUUUAGUUUCCACGUAGGCAGGUCGCUUUGUGCCUCUGAGUGCGCUGCUGUGUGUUCUCUCUAUAGUUCUGUGUCAUAAAGCUGUCCUGGCCAGCCUUCAAGCUGGUGUGGCCACUCUUGAUGUGAGGCGUGUCGGUUCCAGGGGGGACAUGGGAGGGGCUGCACAGUGGCCCGAGGUCAUGCUUGCUUCCACCUGCAGGUGCAUUUGGUCCUUUCCAUGGCCAGGAAGCCCUGUGGGCUGCACUUUUUAUGCUUGCAGUAACAAGAGACUCCAGAGUCCUCACCGGUGCAGAGUUGGCACAUAUUAAUUAACUAAAAUUCUAAUGAUCUUGCUACCAGCAAUAAAUCAAGUAGGCCAAGUGAAACUGGGCUUUAAAAAGGAUGGAUUUCAAAUACACUGUGCCCACUAGAAGCUUCGAAGGGCCUCGUCCCUCUGCUACAGCCCUGGGAGGAGCCAGGAUCCUUGUUGGUCUAGCUAAAUACUGUUAGGGGAGUGUGCCCCAUCUCAUCAUUUCGAAGAUAGCAGAGUCAUAGUUGGGCACCCAGUGAUUGGGUUCAAAAAUAAAGCUGGUCUGCCUCUUCUCUCC